GCAGGUGAGAUGUUGAAUUCCACAGGUGUGCUUUAUCUAAGCCCUACUGUUCUCCAGGUGUGUCUUGAACACAUUUCUUUGAUAUGAAUUAAGGAGGGGUGACAUGAGGAUAGGUGAGUAGGGGAACAUGGGCUCCAUGGCUGAAAUAUUUAGAUUGCUACAUUAUCCUUAAAUUACCCCAUUAGAGGUCCCUGCAUGCCAUUAAGUUGUUAAAGUUCUGUCCCACUGCUAAACCUUGACCAAGAGCGUGUGGUAAGUAGAAUCACCAUUUCAUCUUUCCUUAUAACCCCAAUCUAUCUCUUGUCGGAGUGGGUAUAUCUUUUCCAUUGUGUAAACCUGAACUGAGUCAUUUUGUUUCCAUUGAGUCUCCAGCUGAGUUAAUGUGACCCUUACCUGGGGAGUCGGCACGAGACCUAGUUUGACUUGCCCUACAAUGGCCAACUCAACUGAAGAAAAGCAGAAAAAACAGUUCCCACAGUCUUUGCGGUGAGUGACGCUACAACCCUGACCAAGCCAUCACCACCUCCCCUGCUGGAGCCAAAACAGACUCCUAUUGAUGAAGGAAAAUGGAAACCCCUCAUCAUGAAGCACUGGAGCUCUUGAGUUUGAGAUGAACGCACUGGAGGAAACCCUGAGGGAAUGAUUAAUUAAAUGAACCCUACAUGCCUCAAUUCAAGCCCUGCGAGAAGACAGAACUUGAGUGCAUAUUUUCUGACCAUGGCAGAGAUCAUGAGACGGGAUCCUUUGUGAAGACUAAACAUUGGCAACUGUUUUCUUUACAACUUACCCGCACAUUUCAGUCUAACAAAUUUAUACUGAAAAUUAAUUUGACAGUGCAGUGACAUCAGGUUCCACCUGCCAUCAUUUGCUGUGUGAGAACACCACUUCUCAUAUUAAAACUUGUAAAUGCAGGAUCUAUAGAUUAAGUGUGGACUAUUCAGGCUUUGUGCCACCUCAGAUGUUGAUGGAGAUGGGUGGGAAGGAAAUGAGAAAGAUCAUUCAUUUCCCAGCCAUAACACACCACACAGAUCAUACAUUAACACUUCUGGAUCAUUAAGUUCAAAUAUGGUAACCGGAUUUAAUAUAACGACUGUUUUGAUUAGUUGUUCCUGUUUUUAGUGUCAAUUACACAUGGGGAAAUUAAUAUUAUGCUUUAAAAUGUGAUAUUAUGGUGUAAUGGUGAAUUUAAUGUUUAUAUUAGUUGCUGAGUGAGAUAUGUAAUAAAUAUGAAUGAAUGAUUUAAAACUAAAAUGAU
ensembl:lncRNA